rnacentral:siRNA from 1 species
AGCUCGAUGGAUCUUUGGAAACGC